ACCUGACUAGCUCAGUUCGUAGAGCUUGUGACUCUUGAUCUCAGAGUUAUGAGUUCAAAUCCCAUGUUGGGUG
rnacentral:tRNA from 1 species